UCUUCUCAAAAAACUUUCCUCCUCUUCGUGGUAUUUGUUAAAUGUGGUUAAUUAAGAGCCGUGCCCUCUGGUGGAUUGAUUGAGAAACGCUCAUUCCAACGCAUUAAAUGUCAGUAGCAGCACUUUGUUACAGUCAGACUAAUGACAACGACAAUA